rnacentral:rRNA from 1 species
UACAGGGGGGGCAAGCGUUGUUCGGAAUUACUGGGCGUAAAGGGCCAGUAGGCGGCCAACUAAGUCACACGUGAAAUCCCCAGGCUUAACCUGGGGAACUGCGUGUGAUACUGGAUGGCUUGAAUUCGGGAGAGGGAUGCAGAAUUCCAGGUGUAGCGGUGAAAUGCGUAGAUAUCUGGAGGAAUACCGGUGGCGAAGGCGGCUCCUGGACCGACACUGACGCUGAGGCGCGAAAGCGUGGGGAGCAACAGG